rnacentral:lncRNA from 1 species
GAAAGGCCGUGAUCAAAAAUGCGGACAUGUCGGAAGAGAUGCAACAGGACUCGGUGGAGUGCGCUACUCAGGCGCUGGAGAAAUACAACAUAGAGAAGGACAUUGCGGCUCAUAUCAAGAAGGAAUUUGACAAGAAGUACAAUCCCACCUGGCAUUGCAUCGUGGGGAGGAACUUCGGUAGUUAUGUGACACAUGAAACCAAACACUUCAUCUACUUCUACCUGGGCCAAGUGGCCAUUCUUCUGUUCAAAUCUGGUUAAAAGCAUGGACUGUGCCACACACCCAGUGAUCCAUCCAAAAACAAGGACUGCAGCCUAAAUUCCAAAUACCAGAGACUGAAAUUUUCAGCCUUGCUAAGGGAACAUCUCGAUGUUUGAACCUUUGUUGUGUUUUGUACAGGGCAUUCUCUGUACUAGUUUGUCGUGGUUAUAAAACAAUUAGCAGAAUAGCCUACAUUUGUAUUUAUUUUCUAUUCCAUACUUCUGCCCACGUUGUUUUCUCUCAAAAUCCAUUCCUUUAAAAAAUAAAUCUGAUGCAGAUGUG